rnacentral:snRNA from 1 species
UCAUGGACCCUCAUUUCUAUUCGACCAGCUUCAUUCAGGUGAUCUUGCCGCAAACAUCUCCAAGAAGUCCCCAUACCGAUACUAUCGUCGCAAACAAAAACACCAACAACAGAUCCGUGAUAAUUACUGUAUUGGUCUUGGGCGGUAUUGGUGUGAUUGCCCUCAUUGGAACCACCGUC